GACGAACGCUGGCGGCGUGCUUAACACAUGCAAGUCGAACGAAGUGGCGAACGGGUGAGUAACGCGUAAUCAACCUGCCCUUCAGAGGGGGACAACAGUUGGAAACGAAUGCUAAUACCGCAUACUGAAGGAGGGGAUUGCGUCUGAUUGGCUAGUUGGAGGGGUAACGGCCCACCAAGGCGAUGAUCAGUAGACGGGUGGAGAGGAUGAAAGGCCACAUUGGGACUGAGACACGGCCCAGACUCCUACGGGAGGCAGCAGUAGGGAAUAUUGGACAAUGGGCGAAAGCCUGAUCCAGCCAUGCCGCGUGUGUGAAGAAGGUCUUCGGAUUGUAAAGCACUUUAAGUUGGGAGGCGUUACCAACAGAAUAAGCACCGGCUAACUUCGUGCCAGCAGCCGCGGUAAUUC
rnacentral:rRNA from 1 species